UGAAAACAGAACUGGUUUGCAGCUGAAUAAUUGUGUAACCUCCAUGUUAAGAAAUGAGAUGAGGAAAGGACUGAGGAGAAACAGUCUGAAAUGAACCCUGCAGGUACAGGGCAUUGGCUGAGGUUAAACAAUCGCUGCUCACUGCUGUACUCACUACAGCUUGGUUUGGCAAUGAUGUUGUGCCAUCAUAGUACUGCUCAUAAGAUGGACAGGAGGCUCUAAGUGCAGAAAUGUUUGAUCUGUCUCCAUUCAGACAUGUAGUGUCAGAACCAAGCUCCCCACUACUCAACUUGUUUACAGUGUCUCUCAACUUUUCUAUCCUUGCAGAAUGGUGCUUUACCUCCUGCAGAUAUUGGUCUGGUGAUUGACAUACAAGGAAAUCAUACAUUUCUCUUUACUACUUUACCCAGGUCUUUCCGGGCUCUCUUUUUUUCCCCUUAAGCUAACCUGUUCAGUGGAGCUGGUGUAAUUGCAGUGGCACUGGACCUUGCUUUGAGAUGAGAGAGACUCUUCAGAUUUGCACUUUGUUGUACAAAUGUAUUGUUAUGAAGGCCCUGAAGAUUAAUGUUUUCUUGUCUAAUUAGCUGCAGUGAACAGUUCAGGGGUAGCACAACUGUCGUCUGCUUUAGCUUUGAGUUUGAAAAGGAGGGUAUAAUAUUACCCUGAAUGUUUUGCUAUCUGUAGGAGCGACUCGAGCUGAAGUUUUUGCUGUUUCCAUUUUUUUCACUACCAUUAGCAGCGUGUUGAGACAAUAUCUUCUCACAGGAUUUCUCUGGGACAUUAUGUUCUGUGGAUAUGAUCUGGAUUUGUGUAAGUAAAUAAAUCUUUCUCUGUGAUUGAAUUCAACUCAGUUAUCUGAGUUGAGGAGCAGCACAAUAGUGUAGUCUAGCCCAGGGAGCCGCCAUCAUCACAGCUGCAGGCAUCAAUACCCCUGUGCUGCUUUCUAGGGAAGCGUGGAAGGAAGGACUCUUCCCUAAAAGUUCACACUCUGUUUCCAGCACACAAUGCAAGCAUUGCUCUUGGGUCUGACCCUGGGUUUGACAUGUGGAAGUAGCGUUAAAUUUGCAAAGCAAAGAAAGGUUCCAGUCCAGCAAAUACUUGGGGCUAUGGUUAGGUUUUAUAUUUGCAGAACCUUUGGUCUGACUUACAAAGGCCCCUGUGAACGUAGUGAGCUGGUAGACAAGGAAGUGUUGUGUAGACCUGGAAUGGCACUCAGUUAAAAGCAGAAGAGAUCAGGAAAUCUGAAAAUUUGGAGAACGAAGGGGAGUGCCUUAUCAGCAGAAUUUCUCACAAACUUUACCACCACGCUCCCACUGUACCAGUUUAUUAAAGAGACCUGAAAAAAACCUUACUUCUUGCCAGCCUGGGAGACUCCUAUCACAGUUAUGACAGGUUUAUUCCAUUUGCAAGUCAAAACAAGUUUCUCCUCUCUCUUGGAGGUACAUGAUAAUCAUAUUGCUACACCAGCUACCAAUGCCUAUAAUGUUUGGUAUUUGCACUUUCCUGGCACCAUCCUGAUUGGCAAAACAAGGCUUGCUUGGGUGUUAAGUUUAGCAUAAGAGACUCUCCUCAUUAGGUCUGGGUGCCAUGAAUCAGAAUGAUUAAGUGAUUUGUCCAAAGCACAAAACAGAUUUAGUGUUUCUGCACUGCAGUCUUAAUAAAUCAUGAGUGUCACCAGAAAAUCAUGUGUCACUAAAUUCACAAAUAUUACCCAAAAAUAUUGCAUCCUAUCCCAUAAACAUGAUCUGUUUCUAUUUAUAAUAUGGGCUUCAGACAUUUACCAUUUAUUUUUUUCCUAGAGAAUGCCUAGAAACUUGAAAUUAUGGUAGUUUAAAUCUUCUCCAUGUCAAGCAAAUGUCACUGGUGGCCUGAGCUCUGAUCCUUGCUCUUAUCUGCAGUGAGUGACUUGGAGGAUAGAGAAGGACAGAUCUUUUGAGGUGCCAGACAAUCACUGAAGGUUGUCACCUGUCCUCCUGACUUCAAAGUCAGUUCAUGUGUUGGACGUGCCUCUCUUGUUCCCUGCUUCUAGACAGGAGAAACUGCCAUGCCACAGGCUGCUGAUCCGACGUGCUAAUCCUCCUGGCUGAGACUCUCCCCCUCCUUAGCAGUUUGUGUGGUAGCUCCCAGGGUUGUUCUGGGAGCAGAGUCCUGUGAUGGAGUGUAGAGCAGGGGAAGGAGGAAAGGCUGUUCACGCAGGUGAGUGGAAGGACUCUGUUUAGAGCUUCUUGUAUACAGAACAGCUUGCUGUCAGCUGACUAAGAAGCUGACUUCUUCAGUGAGAUGAGCAUAAUUUUUACUCUGCUCCUGCUCAGAAACUCUCCCCUAGCUGCAGGGGCAGCCAGAUAUGCCUCCUUUUGCCACAGGGCUCAGCAAGAUGCAAGCGGAUCUCACCUUUAAUGCCUCAGUGCACAGUGAUGCUGCUGGAAGGAGGAAGUAAGAAUAAGGCAAAACCGCUCCAGUACCUUAGCCCUGCUCCCUCUCUUUGCUCUUCUGAUUGUAUUAAUGCUCUUCUGCAGAAGUGUUGUGCAGUGUUCUGCAGGAGAGGAGCCUUGGUCAUACACCCCUGUGCUUCUGCUCAGAGGAAGGCUGCAUCCCUUCCCAUACGAACUUAAGAGGAGCUGCUUCAGCAGAUUCACACACUUAAAUCUGCUUUCACAAGGCUAAAUGGUAACAAAGGACACCAGAAUCUGCUCUGAGACUUUUUACCCAAGCAUUAUGCAAACUGUAUGUAAACUUCCUCUCACCAUGUGAGAUAAGCCGUGCCUGAAUGCCAUUUUAGUUGAUGGGUUUGGUGCUGGGGCUUGGAGUUGCCCCAUCCUACCAUGCACCAACCCUGAAGCAUGCCCAAGGGCAGCCCGCUGACAAGCCCUGAGGCUCCCAAAGUAUGCUGGGCUCAGGCUGACGCUCUGAAAUCCAUCCCACGUGGCUUCCCAUCGAGUGGCUGCUGGGUUUCCCAGCGGCUGGGGUCAGGGUGACUCCUUUCUGGACAGAGCCACGAUGCUGAUGUGGCAGAACCAAUCUCUAUGUGGCUGCUGGCAGAAGUGGCCACAGUCCCACAAUUUCUGGUAGGCAGCGUUGGCAAGUGGUGCUGGCCAAAGCUCAGUCAGGACCAGAAGUUCUUGGGGAGGCAGUAGAGUUGCAAACAAGCAUGGCCUUGGCCAUGUACCAUGGACCAGGCUCAUCAGGCUCCCUGCUGCUUGCAUGCUGUGCCAAAUCCUACUUCCUCUGAUGCUCUUUCAGUAUUAGCACACCAGGUCAUAUGUCUGAUGGGUGCAGGGACAGGGAAGUCCCACCAGAACUUUAAGGUUUGUGGGCAUCUGGCUGGGGCCAACUCCAUUUCUGUCUCUCCUCGCCCCUAUGCUAUUCUUUUCUCCUUUUUUUAUUCCCUUAAAAUGUCUCACCAAAGCCAUACCUCCAAAUCCACUGUUUACACUGCAUUUGUUUGAGCAGAUUUACACUCUGUGCGUUCAAACCUCAGUUUACUUUGAACUAACCUCCCUGUGCAGGCAAUCCCCACUAACUUAUCUUGCCCAAAGCAACUUGCCCACUUGAAUUGGGAUAAGUACGUGCUUCCCAGCUGGUCCAUUGUUCUGCUGCUAAAUAUUGCUCAGUUACCCUACCAUGCCAAGCCUGAUUUAUAUCUGUGGAUUCUGCAAGGCAAGCUGUGGAAUGCAAAUUAUUCUGGUGUGUUUGCAGGUCUGUGCUGAGGAGGAGCACAGAAGCUUGAUCCUUCUAUUUCUCAAUGGCUUGUUAUUGUUAUGUAAGUUGCAUUGCCCCACCACUUUGAUAUAUAUUGCUGGGGUUUUGCAGGUGACUAUUCUUUUGUAAGAGAGACCAGGAUCACAAAAAAUUAUGUGCAUAUCUAGCAGGGAACUGGCAUUCCAGUGGUGAUCACACUACUUGUAUGCUAACCUUUCUUCCAAAAUCUCACCCAGAAUCUAUCUCCAGGCAAAGGUGGUGCCUCCUCGAGCACUUCACAGUGCUCAAGUGCUUAGAGAAGGAUCUCUGACAGCAGAUAAUGCUGUUAGCAUAGCAAAGUCUAAUGUAAGGCAGGCUGCUUUCCACAAGCUCUUUUAUCUCAGAUGUGCAGCCUCCAGUGGUCUGUUGGAGUGGGCCUCUGCUGUUAUCUUUGCUCUCCAGUUGGAAACCCAAAGGACGCUGAGGUGCUGGCUCCUGGCUGUGCUCACCAGCAGAAGCCCUUUCCACCAUGGGACGGGAUCCUGAGGGCCGGUGAAAAGAGCUGUUAAUCCUGUGCUGUUUGCUUUGCACACCACACCCCUGCUUAUUGCCCACAAUCUAAAUUACAGGGGCGGCCAAACUUGCUUCCUGUUAAAAACAAUAGCCCUGGCUGACACAUCACAUCGUAAUGCGCCGAGUGUGGGGGAAUGGCGGGGAAAUGCAUGUAACAGUCAGAGCUGAUGUUCUUUGUGUCUAAUAGCACAACGGGGAAGAGUUGCACCGGGCAGGAGAGUCGGUCCUUCUGCGAACAGGGGAUUUACAGCCAAAGCCCCAGGUACUUCCCAGAACAAAAAAGAGGCCAAACUCACAUUGUCUGUGCUCGCAAGCAAGACCUGCUACACACAGUGCCUUUAUUCUGCUGGAUGAUGAUAACCCAGCCCAGCUGUGCAGUUCCAAGGACUACCUCAUGCAACUCCUCCCUCUCCUCCCAUCACCUGUGUGGAUGUGAUAAACAAAUGAAAAUUGAUAGCUAUGUUGGUGCAAUCUGCUGAUGGAGUUAACCAAUUUGCAACUUGUUUUUCAGCUGUGCCAUCCAUAGUACUCCCAGGGUCCUACCAAAAGGCUCAAGAACUGGUGCUAGAUAGGUGAUUCUUUCCUACAGUGUCCUUUUCUACAUGUCUCUUAACACUCGCUACAGCAUUAACAAAAACCUCAAACAAUACGUGUUCUUUUUAGCCUUUUUCAUAUGUUACAAAAAUAGCCUUAUACACUGUCGAUACAUAGAAAAUGCCUCCCUUCUGCAAUAAUGUGCAUUCUCAGAAUCUCUAAUUUCUGUGGUCAGCCUUAGGCACUACAAAAUCUAUAUGCAUCAUUAUUCUUUUUCAUGCUCUUUUUUUUCCCCCCUAGUUAUGAUAUCUGAUGCAUUUCUUCUAGGUAUAUAGUACAGUUUGUGUGGGUGAAACCUACCAUUACUGACCAUCUGUUCUUUUCAUAAAAAUCUCUGGAUUUGUCAUCAUCUUGCUCUGUUGCAUGUCAGCUGGGGACUGACCUAAGCAAAUCAUUGUGAUUCUCUUACUUUCCCCUUAGAUUACCAAGACUACAAGGAUAUAAUGCUUCCAAGAAACCAGCUAUGCUUUGCUGGUAAAAAUAAAAAGGUGUGCAAUUACCAAAGCAUUCCCUAACAGCUGAUUUUGUUAGUUGUAUCUGGGAAUUUGUAAAUCACGAAAAAGAGAAGUGUGUUAAAUUGAUGCUUCUCUCUGCCCUUUGUAUUUGUUUUCUUAGACUUCACAGACCACGGACUGCCUUUAUAUGUAUUUACAAGGUGCUCAGCACAACAAAGACACUAGCAGUAGGUGUGCACCGUCACCAGGUGAGAGUUCAUACUUCACAUCAGAACCUUGUUCAUAUAAAUGUAAUGUUAGGAAAGGACUGAGGACCAGUGAGAGAGCUUCAGCUGCAUUUUGUGUAACAUUGCAUUUAAAUACUUGAAACACACAAUUUAGUAAUAAAAAGAUAAUAAAAAGAA